rnacentral:pre_miRNA from 1 species
AUGCAGUCCUAUCUCGCUGUGAAAUACUAGCGUAUCCUAGCAUAGCAAUAUACUACUAUUAUUACUGCUGUGCUGGGAUACGACUAUUAUUAGAAAGGUUCAAAAUAAUC